UGAGGGGAGGUGCUACAGUGUUAGAGGGUGGGUGGGGCAGCCGGAAGUGGGCAGGGUUUGCAUGGAGGCGGAGCUUUGUUGGCAAACCUGCCUGGCUUUUUGAGCUCCCUGAUCAAGAAGCAGAACAAUACAGUGCUCCAACCUUGCCUUCCUAUCAUUACCUGCUGCCUGCCUAAAAGUUUCUCUCAGCAGAAGAUACUCAAAGGAAGAUAGAGCCAUAGAACAAAGAUUAAAUUCAAGGCCCUGUUAGAAAAUCAUGGACUCAAG